UGCGGGAAACAACGCCGCCAGUUUUGAAGCGGCGGCCGCGCCAAGGCGGCAAACCGUUUUUAUCGGCCGGGCAAUUUGGGAGUGUAAAUACGACAGCUGCGAUCUGAUGAGGCGUGCGUGUGUGUUGUGUGUGUCAGUGCGAGCCGGCGCCCGGAUACCAUCUUGCAGUAAGCAAGUGGAUAACAAGGAAGAGAUACGUCAGGUCCUGUGCCUCGCCUAAGUUACCCCGUGCAAAAAUCUAAUCGACCGUUGUGAGUGCUUAACUAGCUUGAUCACGUCGUAAAUGAUACACUAUCAAGAAUUUAAAUAAAGAAUUGUUUAUUUUUCUGCCAAAUGAGUAAACACCAUCGUGAAGCGAUGCUUUGAAAUAACGCUAUUGCCAAAAUGAAGAUAAAGGUCCAUGAAGACCUGAUGACCAAGUGUAGAUAUUCCCAAAAGCACGCCUCAGAAACCACUUAAGCGGACUAACACUUGCAGCGAUCGCCGCCAGCGGCGCCACCGUCGCCCGCUCUGCAUGUUAUCCCGCCGUCAUGCCUCAUCUCCUCGUCCUAUGUGCGCCGUACGCCGUGCGCCGUGCGCCGUGCGCCGUGUGCCGUACGCCGUACACCGUACACCGUGCGCCGUGCGCCGUGCGCCGUGCGGCAUCACGCGCCGUGGGCGUCGUCAACCAAGCGGCGGUUCCUGCGCGACAGCCUGGAAGCUACACUGUAAAAAAAAGAACACGUGUAAUUCAGUACACGUGAUAGAAGUGAAAGUUCUUUGGCAAUUCAAUCCUCUACUCCCUAGAAGUGCUUCUAUCCAGAAGAAACCAUUCUUGUGAGGAAAGUUCUGCCUACAUGUUACUCUGGGGUAUGCUUCAGCGACACCUGAGCCCGCAGAACCGACGAGGAAGUACGUGCACAGAGUCCACCCCCUGGACCGAGGAGUUGCGGCGCAGGACCGAGAACUGCUGCCAACUUCGCAGAAGCGACAAUUCAAGAUGGAGAAACCACCGGACAGGCAGGAGAUGUGAUAUCCGAGCACUCCAUGGCUGCAAGACAUAAUACCUACUUACUGUCAUGUGAUGUACAUUUUGUAAAAAGAGAAAGAAAACCCUGAGUAACGUGUGUUGUGUUCCUCUGGUGGCGAGUAUGGUAACUAACGAUCUGUUCAAACCAAUUAUUGCAACACCAAAAAAAAAAUUACAUGUUAUUUAGAAAAAAAUCCUUGCUCAACCAUAUACCUUUAUAAAUUGGUUAGGGUAUCUAUAAUUCUAAGAUAUUAAAAGAUUGUACAUUAGAGUUGAGAUAACUAGUAGGUAUGUACUUAGACAAGUUAAAUUAUGUACUUAGUUCAUGCCAUUGACAGAAAAUAAAUCUACACAUACCUAAUUCUACUUCAUUAAACAAUAUCAGAGAGAUUGUAGCUAUUUUUACUAACAAAUUAAAAAUUAAAAGUAAUCUUCAAAUAAAAAAGAUAACCUAUCACACUUUGGCUAGUUAAUUUAAUUGAUUAUGAAAUAUCUUUAAUAUUUAAGUAGGAUUUUCUUUUCUAUGGUAGCUUAUGAAGGUACCCAGGCUACGUGUAUUUUUCUUUGAAUCGUAAUUUUGAAUUUUAUAUAGGCCUAUUAUUGGAUCGCUUUAAUUCUUUAUCUUAUAUAGAAUUAUUUGCUCCUUUAUACAAUUUAGUAUUAAAAAUAUUAAGUAGGAUUUUAUUUUCUUUCGUUAAGAUUUUUUUGCUGUGUCUUUUUUAUAGAUAAUUUUUUUCCAUAAUUUAGUUAAAAAAGUUAAAAUACCUCAUGUAGCAUAAAGCUUGCUUUGUUGUGUUAAAUUUAAGAAAAAUUAUCUGUAAUUAUGAAGUUAAAUUAUAUAAAUUAAAUAAAUAAAAUAUUUAACAAUG